rnacentral:rRNA from 1 species
GACGAACGCUGGCGGCGUGCUUAACACAUGCAAGUCGAACGGAAAGGCCCUGCUUGCAGGGUACUCGAGUGGCGAACGGGUGAGUAACACGUGGGUGAUCUGCCCUGCACUUCGGGAUAAGCCUGGGCGACUGGGUCUAAUACCGGCUAGGAGCCAUUUUUAGUGUGAUGGUUGGAAAGUUUUUUCGGUGUAGGAUGAGCUCGCGGCCUAUCAGCUUGUUGGUGGGGUAAUGGCCUACCAAGGCGGCGACGGGUAGCCGGCCUGAGAGGGUGGACGGCCACCUUGGGACUGAGAGACGGCCCAGACUCCGACGGGAGGCAGAAGGGGGGAAUAUUGCACAAUGGGCGCAAGCCUGAUGAAGCGACGCCGCGUGGGGGAUGACGGCGUUAGGGUUGUAAACUCCUUUCGCUAGGGACGAAGCUUUUUGUGACGGUACCUAGAUAAGAAGCACCGGCUAACUACGUG